AUAUUCGUUUAAUUAAUAAUUAUCAAGAGAAUCAAUAGGCCUAUUUCGAGCGCGAUUUGCUGAUAAAACUUUGCACGAAUUACAAAUUUUGCUACAUCCUCCUGCUUGAUCCGGAACCGCUGGGAACAUUUUUCCAAACCAACUUUCCUUUCCUUUUUACAUUUUUCUAACUUCGCGGCGAUCCUUAAAUUUUGGUAUUUCGAUUCCUCGGCUUUUCAAAGAAAAGAUUUAACCUGAAAUUAAGCCGAGAACUCGAGCUUCAAGACCAAAUUUUCUCGUAUUUUAUUCCAGUAAGUAAACAUAUAGUAAACGUUUUUAAUGCCGCAACAUAUAAAAUUAGGUUACUCGAGUGAUUAGGGCGAAAGAAAUACCAGAUAGUGACACGAUUUACAAAGCAUAUUUUAUAAAGAUCUUCGUUCAUCGUUUGUUGGACCAGGCAUUAGCGAUACUUCUCGAACAAAACGAUUAAAAAGUAGAUCACCGUAUGUGACAAGUUAUUUCGCUGAGAAAUCCUUGAAUGUAAACGUGGCUUGAACCGAUAGCGUUCGAAUCGUUCGUAAUCUCUCGUGUAUCUUUCACAUUGUUACUAUUCGCAUGUAUUAUUUAUACGCGUAGACGUAACAAACAUGGACAAUGUGGAUGAUGUAGAGAACGUACAAGUAUUCACGAAACUCGAUUUUCACUAGGAUAACUGACCGUUCGUAUUGUCCCUGCAAAUCGUUGCGCAUAAAUAUGAAUCGCAUGAUCGAAGAGGCUGCAGUAUGAUACGUGUGUACUAUGAGAAAAAUUCAUGCGGCGUAUGAACCGAUAUUCCGUGCAAAUGUAAAUUUUAUACAUUUUCAGUGCGACACAUACAAAGAAAUGGGGGCUCUACCUUUGUACGUAGAGUCAGUCGACGCCUCACAUAUACAUGUGCAUGCACGUCUCACGUGUUUGUUUCUAUUGGUGGAGGAGUUAGCCACUGGCCGCUGAUGUAGUAGUAGUAGUACACAGAGCAUUCAGUAGUAUAUAAGGGCGACUCUUUCGUACGACCACGCAUAACCGACAGGGAGUCAUUCCAUGACACGCGUUGCACGCGACCGGGGCAGUCUCUCUUCCUCCGUUUCUUCCUUUUCUUCGCCAUUCUUUCGCCGUAUUGUGAUAUCCUCGACGACUGCCGCUUAGUUCGUCAAAGUGGAUCCUAGGGGGUAGCUCGACCCUCACUCUCGCCUUCUCUGCCCCUCUUCUUUUUGUCUUUUCUCCCUCUCUCAAGAUUCAUCAUCCUUCGCACAACGAUUUUCCGCAUUUCUACACCAGCACGCCAGUAUCUAUCUUUGCCAUUGAGAAACCUCCUUAGCAGAAUCGUCGUACUCGUUUGGAAUGUCAUUCUCGAUGAUCGCCAUAGGAGGCUCGUGGCUGACGUUAAUUUUGUCCAUGUGCUUGAUGUUAAUCGUUCUGCUAUUGGUGGUCCGACGAGGGAAAUUUCUGUAUGCUCUAAGAAAAGUGCCGUACCCGCCUGCUUUGCCCAUCAUUGGGAACGCGUAUCAAUUAUGUUGCAGUCCGGAAGAAGCCUUCAAAAAGAUGCUGAAAUGGGGAAGAGAGUUAGGAGAUAUGUAUUUGGUUUGGGUAGGCAUGCGACCGUUCAUCUUCCUCUACAAAGCAGAAGCGAUACAGCCACUGCUAAGCAGUAGUGUUCACAUCGAUAAAAGCUUGGAGUAUGGAUACUUACGACCUUGGCUUGGUUCCGGUUUGGUAACAAGCACUGGUGAGAAAUGGCAUUCUCGUAGGAAAUUGCUAACGCCAACGUUCCACAGUGGUCUUCUGGAAGUAUACUUGAAGACGGCAAUCAGGGAAGCCCAAAUAUUAAUCUCAUGCCUAAGUCAGGAAGUCGAUAAACCAGAAUUCGACAUUGUUCCUUAUGCCAAACGAGCGGCGUUGGAUAUAAUAUGCGAUAGUUCCAUGGGAUGUAACAUUAAUGCGCAGAAAAAUUUUAAAAACGAGUAUGUGCUGGCUGUGAACACACUAGCUUCCAUCUCGCAAAGAAGAUUUCUAAACGUGUGGAUGUCUUUUGACCCGAUCUUCAAGCUAACAAGCUGGGGUAAAGAGUACGAUCAAGCACUUCGUAUUACUCAUGGAUUCAUUAACAAAAUAAUCGCGGAAAGAAAAGCCGAGUGGAAAGCCAAAAAGGAUGGGAAUUGCCAUGAACGGUCUCAUAAACGUCAAGCUCUGUUGGACUUGUUGUUGGAAUUAUCGAAAGAUGGAGAAGUACUUAGCGACGUUGAUAUCCGUGAUGAGGUGAAUACGUUUAUGUUCGCGGGUCACGAUACCACUGCGACUAGCAUAUCCUGGUUCCUGUAUGCAUUAGGAAGACAUCCUCAGUACCAGGAAAAAAUUCUUGAAGAAUAUUAUGAGAUAGCAAAAACGGAAGAAUUAUCUCUAGAUAUACUAAGCAAAUUAACGUGGUUAGAAGCGUGCAUAAAAGAAUCUUGGAGAAUUUACCCAGUGGCACCACUCAUCGCGAGACAGAUUUAUCACCCUAUUACCAUUUUGGGACAUGAAAUUCCAGUAGGAUCGACGGUUCUCGUAAAUUCGUUCCUUCUUCAUCGUGAUACUCGAUACUUUCCAGAGCCAGAUACUUAUCGACCAGAACGAUUUCUCCCCAAUGGACCAAAAUAUCCUUCUUAUGCUUUCAUACCCUUCAGUGCUGGCUCUCGUAAUUGUAUAGGAUGGAAAUAUGCCACGAUGAUCGUCAAAGUUCUUAUUUUGCAUAUAUUGAAAAAUUUCCAAGUCAAGUCCUUAGAUACAGAGGAUCAACUUCGUUUUACCAGUGAAUUGGUAUUACACAAUGCUAAUGGACUUCGUUUAAAAAUUACACCACGAAAAUAGGGAAGUAUUGUUUAAUAUUAUUGCAGCAAUAUACACGACUGAGUGAAAUGAAAAGAUCGAAAUAAUAUAUAUAUAUAUACAUACUUUGAACUGUGAGCAAAAUCUUUUCUGCAUAUCAAUGUUAGAGAGACCAUAUUUUGUGAUAACGAUAAUGAUGUUAAUUUAUGUCAUAU